CUCUCCAUUGCCUGUGGUGCCUAGUACCGGACACCACAUCCUGACAACAUCUCGGAUGUGCCCUGACACCUCAGUGCUCUCCCACAUAGAACCCGGUGUGCCCCAUCUACUUGAAGAACUGCUCAAGAGGCUUUGUGGGAGGUUUGGCUCCUCCUCACCCACUCCGGGCUUGACGUACCUCCCAUCACCCCGUACCCUUCUCGGUAUACUUCCGGUCAGGCAGUCGUCAGCUCGCAGCUCGGAGGGAUCAGCUGUGGUGACAGGCUGGCUUGCUCUUGCAGCCCCAGGAACGCAGAGCAGUCCAGCUCUGAAGCUGUGAGCGCUAAAGCCAGAUGCCUUCUCGAGGUGACUUUUUCUGAUCCCAUUCUCCCAGCAGAAUAGAAUGAACUUCGGUGUUCCUGGCCUCCAGCUCCUGAACUCUGGUUCUUCCGAGGCAGAAGUCCCUGGAGAAAAGAUGUGAUGUUUAAAGCUAUGGCAGCCAUCUUGUAACCAUGGGGCCACAAACAAGAAAAGCAAAAACCAAAGAGUGAAGCAUGGCAGAGCAGAAAGAUGGAAAGAGCCUGGAUACUUAAGAGGGUCACUUGGCAGCUGUACCCACCCUAGACUGCAUACCCCUGGACUUUAAGUAAAUGACAAAUAUCCUUUGUUCUA